rnacentral:rRNA from 1 species
UUGGGUCAUGUUAUAAAUGCUCUGGCUAAACCUAUUGAUGGGAGAGGCGAAAUUGUAGCUUCUGAAUCUCGCUUAAUUGAAUCUCCUGCUCCAAGUAGAAUUUCCAGGCGUUCCGUAUACGAACCUCUUCAAACAGGGCUUACUGCUAUCGAUUCGAUGAUCCCUAUAGGGCGUGGUCAGCGAGAGUUCAUUAUUGGGGACAGACAAAAACAACAGUAG